GGAAGUUGGAGGCAAUAACAGGUCUGUGAUGCCCUUAGAUGUUCUGGGCCGCACGCGCGCUACACUGACUGGCUCAACGAGUUCACCCUGGACUCCGACAGGUCUGGGUAAUCUUGGAACACCAGUCGUGCUGGGGAUAGAUUCUUGCAAUUAUUGAUCUUCAACGAGGAAUUCCUAGUAAACGCAAGUCAUCAGCUUGCAUUGAUUACGUCCCUGCCCUUUGUACACACCGCCCGUCGCACCUACCGAUUGAAUGGUCCGGUGAAAUCUUCGGAUCGGGGGUUCCGCGGCCCUCUGGGUUGCGGGCUUCCGAGAAGUUGAUUAAACCUUACCAUUUAGAGGAAGGUGAAGUCGUAACAAGGUUUCCGUAGGUGAACCUGCAGAAGGAUCAA
rnacentral:rRNA from 1 species